AAGAAGAAGAAACACAGGUCUGAAUCCGAGGCCAAGAAGCGAAAGCACCGCUCCCCCAGCCCCAAGGCCAAGCACAAGGCCAAGGAGAAGAAGCGCAAGAGGUCCACCAGCCAAUCGCAGAAGCCGGAACGUUCUUCCUCCCCCGCCGGCUCCUCCUCCUCCUCCAACUCCUCCCGCAGCAGGUCCCGCAGCGCCACGGCCCCGCCCCCGGCCCCGGCCCCGCCC